ensembl:lncRNA
UGCCGCCGUUUAGGUGCAUACAUCUCAUUCUAGGGGCAACACCUUCCUGGCUUUACUACCAGGUAGCCAACACCACCCCUUGCCGUUCAGGCCUGGCCAUCUGAUUACAGGAUGAUUCCCAUGUUGUUUCUGGUGUGCAUUAAUACCAGAAUAUUGGAUACGUUAAUGAAUAUUAACAUUCCCAUAAUUACCAUAUUCGGUACAACAUAGAUAAUUCCCUUCCUCACAGGUAACAUUUCCACAUCCAGGGUCGGUAUUAUUGCCCCCUGAAUUUCCAGCAGUAUGAAGAACGAUAUACAUACUAAUAUAAAAACCAAAAUACCCUGGGAACACUCUAUGUAACCCAUCUCUUUUUCCCAAUUACACAUGGUAUUCAUUAUUUUUUCCCAAGGAGAAGUUAAAGGUUAGUUUACAACUAUGAUUCACACCUAAUUUUUAAAUUCAAAGGUUCUCCUCUAGGAACAGUCUCUCAGGUCUCAGGGUCAACUGAUGUCUUCGCCCGGGUGUAAUGAGUGUACUGAGUCCACCAUUUCUCAGCUGUUCUUACUGCCCUCUCAGUAGUCAGGAGUACCUGGAACGGUCCGUCCCACUCAGGUUGCAGUUUCAAUUCCUUCCAUUCUCGUAUCAAAACCCAAUCUCCUGCUCGGAAUGGAUGGAUCGGGGCUUCAAGGUUGGGGUUUGAGAUAACGAUCCACGGGUCCUGGGCGAUGACAAAGAAGACAACAUCCCAAAUAUGUAGUUUUUAAGAAAAGGACCUUUUGUCUCGAAUUGAGGUUAUUCAUUCCCUUUGCCCAGGUCCGGCAAUCCAAAUAAGGUUUCAUAUGGUGAAACUCCCACAUCUUUCCUUGGCGCCGUUUGAAUUUGGAGAAGUGCCAAAGGUCAGCACUUCGUUCCGGGGAGCCAAGUUUCCAGGACGCAGUCAAUUGCUUCUUUACUGUCUGAUCCGCUUCUUUACUGUCUGAUCUGCUUUCCUGUCUGAUCCCAAUGAGUGACCCUGCCUCAGUCACCAUCCUUAUUUUGGGACAGCGGGGCCUUCCCCUUAUCUGCUUACCGUACUCCCCACAGCUAUGCUACUGUCAUGCCUGCACAAUCACUUUUGAAUAUGCAAGGUUAGUGGAAUUUCCCACUGCAAAAACACAUUCUAUCACAAAAACACUACUUUGUUUCUCACCGGUCUACCAAAAGGCUUCCGUUGUGACCAUUGUUGGGAGAAUUUGGCGACGUAGGUGUUGGGUUAGAGUCAUAAUUAGUAUUCGGGUUACGGUUAGGGUUAGGGUUUGGAGAGAGAGAGUGCGCAGAGUCCUGUUGUGUGUGGGGUUGUGUAAGGGCUGCCCAAGGAAGUUCAGGUCUACCAAAAGGCUUCCGCUGUGAGCACUAUUUCAUGGGAGAAUUUGGUGACAUAGUUGUUGGCUUUGGGUCAUAAUAAGGGUUAGGGUUAGGGUUAGGGUUAGGGUUCAGGUUCGGGUUCGGGUUAGGUGAGAGAGAAAGCGCAGAGUCCUGUUGUGUGGGGGGUUGUGUAAAGGCAUCCAAAUGAAGUUCAGGUCUACCAAAAGGCUUCCCUUGUUAGCACUAGUUCAUGGGAGAAUUUGGUGACGUAGGUGUUGAGUUAGGGUCAUAAUUAGGGUUAGGGGAGCAGCCAACCUACUGCUCCACCUCUGCCUCCUCCGUGGGACUACAGACUUCCUGCCACUAAUGGCAGCGGUGGGCUCAGCGGCAGCAGUGGCAGAAAAUAUCACCUCUGACAGUGGCAGCCUGAAAGACAGUCUGCUUAUCACUGGGACAAGAUGCCAGCUAGUUAGGCAUUAUCGUAUUUAAGCCUCUUAUUCUACUAGCCUAUUUUUUUUUUUACUAUUAGCUGUCCUGGCUAUUAGCAGUUAACAAUUACUGUGUCACUUCUUACUUCCUCUCACCUUGUCUUUUUGAAAAGUAAAAGCCUGUCUUCUUCCAAAGUUUUUGCGCUGUUGAGACGUGUGGUCUCCGAAGGCUUGGAGAAAGGCUUUCAUAGCAAACCCGACCAACUCAGCGUUCUGCGAAGAAUAAAUAAACCUGUAAUUCAAAAAUUCA